UACGGGGGGGGCAAGCGUUGUUCGGAAUUACUGGGCGUAAAGGGCUCGUAGGCGGCCAACUAAGUCGGAUGUGAAAUCCCCAGGCUCAACUUGGGGAACUGCAUCCGAUACUGGAUGGCUUGAAUUCGGGAGAGGGAUGCAGAAUUCCAGGUGUAGCGGUGAAAUGCGUAGAUAUCUGGAGGAAUACCGGUGGCGAAGGCGGCAUCCUGGACCGACAUUGACGCUGAGGAGCGAAAGCUAGGGGAGCAAACGGG
rnacentral:rRNA from 1 species